GGCUCAGAUUGAACGCUGGCGGCAUGCCUUACACAUGCAAGUCGAACGGCAGCGGGCCUUCGGGUGCCGGCGAGUGGCGAACGGGUGAGUAAUGCAUCGGAACGUGCCAUUGAGUGGGGGAUAACGUAGCGAAAGUUACGCUAAUACCGCAUAUUCUGUGAGCAGGAAAGCAGGGGACCGCAAGGCCUUGCGCUCUUUGAGCGGCCGAUGUCAGAUUAGCUAGUUGGUGAGGUAAAGGCUUACCAAGGCGACGAUCUGUAGCGGGUCUGAGAGGAUGAUCCGCCACACUGGAACUGAGACACGGCCCAGACUCCUACGGGAGGCAGCAGUGGGGAAUUUUGGACAAUGGGCGCAAGCCUGAUCCAGCCAUGCCGCGUGAGUGAAGAAGGCCUUCGGGUUGUAAAGCUCUUUCGGCCGGGAAGAAAUCGCAUGGGUUAAUACCCUGUGUGGAUGACGGUACCGGAAUAAGAAGCACCGGCUAACUACGUG
rnacentral:rRNA from 1 species